rnacentral:rRNA from 1 species
AGAGUUUGAUCCUGGCUCGGAACGAACGCUGGCGGCGUGCUUAACACAUGCAAGUCGUACGAGAAACCGGAACUUCGGUUCUGGGAGUAGAGUGGCGCACGGGUGAGUAACGCGUAGGUAAUCUACCCUUGGGUUUGGAAUAACCCGCCGAAAGGCGGGCUAAUACCGGAUAAAAUCUUUCGGAGGGAUCCGAAAGAUCAAAGGUGGCCUCUCCAUGGAUGCUACUGCCUGAGGACGAGCCUGCGUCCCAUUAGCUUGUUGGUUGGGUAAUGGCCUACCAAGGCUACGAUGGGUAGCUGGUCUGAGAGGAUGAUCAGUCACACUGGAACUGGAACACGGUCCAGACUCCUAUGGGAGGCAGCAGUGAGGAAUAUUGCGCAAUGGGGGAAACCCUGACGCAGCGACGCCGCGUGGGUGAAGAAGGCCUUCGGGUCGUAAAGCCUUGUCUAGAGGGAAGAACUUCUCAACGGAACAAUACCCGUUGAGAUUGACGGUACCUCUGGAGGAAGCACCGGCUAACUCCGUGCCAGCAGCCGCGGUAAUACGGAGGGUGCGAGCGUUGUUCGGAAUUACUGGGCGUAAAGCGGGUGUAGGCGGUUUGUUAAGUCAAAUGUGAAAGCCCACGGCUCAACCGUGGAAGUGCAUCUGAAACUGGCAGACUUGAGUACCGGAGAGGGAAGUGGAAUUCCUGGUGUAGGGGUGAAAUCCGUAGAUAUCAGGAGGAACACCGGUGGCGAAGGCGACUUCCUGGACGGAUACUGACGCUGAGAUCCGAAAGCGUGGGGAGCAAACAGGAUUAGAUACCCUGGUAGUCCACGCCCUAAACGAUGGGCACUAGGUGCAGGGGGUGUUGACCCCUCCUGUGCCGCAGCUAACGCAUUAAGUGCCCCGCCUGGGGAGUACGGCCGCAAGGGUUGAAACUCAAAUGAAUUUGACGG